rnacentral:misc_RNA from 1 species
GUGAAUCAUCAAAUCUUUGAACGCAAAUUGCACUCUCUGGUAUUCCGGGGAGUAUGCCGGCUUGAGGGUUAGUAAGUUGCCAACGUAAAAAGAAUUUUUUACGGCUCCGGAUUUUCCUAAAGUUUGAUUUUUGGUAAUCUAAAAUUUAUCAUAACAAUUGGAGAUAUUGGAAUUGAUUAUUUUUGAUUCUUUAACAAUUCUUGCCAAAUUCGUUACGUCAUGUUAUUUUCCUAACUUUUUAA